GUCUCUCAGCGUGGCAGGACGGCCGGAAAUGGCGCAUGCUCCACGGCAGGAGUCAGCACUCAAGUUCCGCUGGCACGAAGGCAAGCCGCCGGAAUCUUUUAGCAUCCGAAAUGAGUUUAAAAAAAAACAAAAGAGGAAUCUGAAAUGUCCAAAAAGAGGACGACGUGAAAAAAACGCAAGGAGUCACGACGUGCAGCGAGUCACGUGUGCCACACAAGAUGAUGAAAAGGAAAAUCGGGGACGGAAUGCAACAUUUCCGAGCAAAACAACAACAACAACAACAACAACACAUGUCGUUGAAAUGUCGGUUCUGUUUCUGCCGGUGGGUUAGCUCUUGGGCUGAGCGAGCGCGAGGCCGCAGCCAACAAGCCUCCACCGAGAGGCCGCCAUGAACACAAGACAAUACGGCGCCAGCCAGCGACGAGGCCCAAAACCAAAAACGCGCUGGAGUGGGCCAAAAAAGUCCACUUGGGACUCACCUUGCGGUUCCGCUGGCCACUCCGCACGCUCCCGAAUACUGCGUGGCGCGUCGGCCGCCGAGUCCGCAUCCACAGCGCCCUUUCUUUGUGCCCGAAGCCCCGGGGAGUCAAGUCGAAGGAGAUCCGACAAAAGGAGCGUCUGCUCCGGUAGGAAACUCCGCCCAGCGCCGCAGGGGGAGGACCUCCGCGAGGCGGCCGAACAUGAAGCCGAGGCGGAGGAAGGCAGCACGCGAGGCGGACGCGACGGCCGCCACAAUCGCCCUUCUUGAAGCGGGUUUACUAUCGCGUGCCAUUUGAACAAAAGUCAAAAAGGCAACUUCCCGUCCUCCGCGCCUGACAGGCUCUCGGGCCCGGGACGACCGGCGUCCGGGCUGACGCCGAGAGAGCCCUCGGCGGGUCGCUCGGUGAACCCCCGACAAGAGCGUCGGAGCGUCGGCCGUCAUCACGACCGGGACCUCGGACCCCCGCGUCCCACCGUCCGCUCGCGGGCACCUGACAGACAGACAGACAGACCGACCGCCGGCCGGCCGGGGCAUCCGCACUCCGGGCCGCUGAGGCGCCGUGCGGGCAUUUAAAGUAUCAAACUUUGAACUACGAACACGGCACGAGUCGAAAGUAGACGAAAGUACACAAAAGUGUUGAACGAAAUCAAGCAAAACAGUCAGAAAACCUUCCGCUGUCAGCCUCCCUGUAUUCGACGCCACCUGCUGGCGCGGAGGAACACUACAGCAGCAGCAUCAAAGACGACUGGACAAAGUGCACGCACGCACACACUAUUGAGGGAUCCCCCAAACAUUUUAAAAUGGGAGAUCUACUUCUUUGGUACCGAAUAAUGCGAAGAGCACGACAGCAAGCGUACACAGGCAGGCAGGAGAAAAGGAAGUCGGGUCUGCCGCCUCUGUCAGCAUCUCCACAGGUUCCUCUGCAGCCCGUAGACGCCGUGGCGAUCCAGCAGAACCUCGUGACGGCACGACGGGCAGCGGAAGCGGCCGCCGCAUGGCGCCGUGGAUCCACCUCUGGAGCUCAGGUAGGGGUUGGCUGCCUGUGGGUUAGGGUUAGGCAAGGUUAGGAUGUCCCGUGCGGAGCGUCAUCGUCACGUCCGGGUGUCUAUUGUCUUGUCGUCGCCACCGACAAAUCCAAUCCAGUGUGUGACCCGGCGGCCAUCUUGUCAGUGGCCUU